UCCCGCCCGCUGAGACGCCGCUGCUGCCGAAAGGGCUGCUCAGAUGAGCAGUACUGGACCCAGCCCAAUGUCAGCUGUUCCGUCUAGCAGUGGAAGAGGGACUGGGAGAUCAACAAACUUUAUUCUAGAAUUGCAAAGUAUGAUGAUUUCCCCCUUUAGGGGAUCUGACUGUCAAACCUACAAAACUACUUUGGUUACAGCCAUCUUUCUUCAUUUUUUGGCUUGCCACAGCUAUGGAGGGAGAGAAGAUGCAUUCUUCUAUUUCAGCCAAAACAAUAACUUUCUUGUGGGGACCAAGGUCAAAUUGCUCAAGUGUUUGGCGGGCUAGAAUUACUGUUAGAGAGCCCGCCAAAGGUGUUAAUUGGAGAAUGUGAUUUAUUACAUAAUUAGUAGGUGGGGAGUUUAACUUCUAUUUUGUAAUCUUUUUGGGGAGACUUCCAGACUUGAUUUCACCUAUGUUCGUGCUGAUA